AGCUCCAAUAGCGUAUAUUUAAGUUGCUGCGGUUAAAAAGCUCGUAGUCGGAUUUCGGGUGGUUCCGGCCGGUCCGCCUUCGGUGAGUACUGGUCGGCGCCACCUUUCUGCCGAGGACGGGUUCCUGGGCUUAACUGCCUGGAUCCCGGAGUCGGCGUUGUCACUUUGAGUAAAUUAGGGUGUUUAAAGCAGGCUUAUGCUCUGAAUACACUAGCAUGGGAUGACAUGAUAGGACUGCGGUCUAUCUUGUCGGUCUGUAGGUCGGAGUAAUGAUUAAGAGGGACAGUCGGGGGCAUUCGUAUUUCGUAGUCAGAGGUGAAAUUCUUGGAUUUACGGAAGACGAACUUCUGCGAAAGCAUUUGCCAAGGAUGUU
rnacentral:rRNA from 1 species